rnacentral:rRNA from 1 species
UACGAGGGGGGCAAGCGUUGUUCGGAAUUAUUGGGCGUAAAGGGUGCGUAGGCGGUUUGGUAAGUCUUAUGUGAAAUCUACAGGCUCAACUUGUAGUCUGCAUGAGAAACUGCCGGGCUUGAGUAUGGGAGAGGUGAGUGGAAUUCCUGGUGUAGCGGUGAAAUGCGUAGAUAUCAGGAGGAACACCUGUGGCGAAAGCGGCUCACUGGACCACAACUGACGCUGAGGCGCGAAAGCUAGGGGAGCAAACAGG